CUGAGUUCCAUCUGAGACAAGUGAUUAACUGGUGAAGCACCAUCAAAAAGCUCAGUUGUCCAUCUGGGAACUGAACACCAUCACUAGAGCACCAACACAGGAUCCAAGUGUGGAGCUUCCUCAGAAAACUAGUUAAUUUCCAUUGGGCCUGCUGCAACUUUCCAUUCAGUCAGGGCUAACCAUUAGUGUUCAUGACAAAUGGCUUUGAUGGAAAAUGCCAAGAAAUCUGUAGCAAAACGGUAAAAAAAUUGCACUGAACUGGAAUCCAAACAAUAUUUUUUUGAUUGUGAAUCUAGUCGCAUGACUGUCUCUUACAGGGUUUUUUUUCUUUGUGGCAGGAAUCUAAAGUAAAGGAAAUCAUGCUGUUCAAUAAAUUGAAUGUCCAGCUGGCUAAAGCUUUAAACAGGAAAAGGACACAAGAAAAUUCUGUGAGUGCUCUUGAAGGAAAACUCAGCAAGUUGCUCAAACACCUGCUUGCCAUGAGGCAAACACUGAGCUUCAUACUUGCCCCAGGACAGAAGUCCUGUGAGAGAGCUCAUCAAAUACUACCCAACUGUUGUUUAUGCUAGAUUGCUAAACCAUGUGAUGAGAUGUCAUCAAUCUCUGGAGGAAUGCUGCAGUGACUUGCUUGUUUUGACACUUAUUGUACCAUCUGCACCUUGGUUAAGUCAAAAGUCAAGACUUCAUAUUUUUAAAUUAACUCAUAGAAACAUUGUAUUUUAGAAGGUAUCUGCAUAAUUUUUCAUGGUUUGGGGUUACGUUUAUUACUUUCAGGUGUGUAUAUCUGCAUGAAUCCAAGGGGUGCAGAGUUGUGUUUCUGUGCAUUUCAGAUAAUUAAGUUGACAAAAGAUUGAUUGUAAUUUAAGUUCUUUAUCAAAAUAAAAUAUUGUGCAAUUAUUUUCUAAUAUAUGUUAAGCUACACAAAGAUAAUUUGGCUGACAAACAAGACAGGCUGAAUGUGUUUAGUGGAGGAAUGUAGAAAAAAGAGAUCUUUCUUGAAACAUUCCUGAUCCAUGAGAUUAAUAAUGGAAUAUGCAGUUUAUUAUCUCCUAGGUCACUGAUGUAAAACCAGGCACACUCAGAAAUACAUAAUUUGGUCAUAUCAGGCUAAUUCCUGGUAGAUAGAUGUCUUUGCCAUAAAUGUGGAUGUUUGACAUACUUUUGGAGAAUUUUUGUAUGAAACGCAAGGUUUGAAUAUGCUGUGGGUGUUGAUAUAUCUUUAAACCUGGAAAAAAAUGUUUUAGGGAUAUUAGCAGACCAUUUUGAGAAAUUCUGCACUAUGGUUGCUCCUGAUAUAUUUAAUUGGUAGGUAAAUAUCAAUUUCCCAGGCUGCCAAUUUGGCAUUUUUCAUGUGCAUGGAAAGUGAACUAUAGGUCCAGGAACCAUCUCAAAAUCUAUUCGUGUUGGGCUGUACACAUGUGCUACUGAACAUUAGGACUGGCCACAAACUAUCAAACACAUUUUAAAAAACCAUUGUUUUUAUCUAGGGAAGGUGCUAAGUGGUAAAAAUUAACAAUUUUUAAAAUGUAUGCUAAUUAAAAUGUUUUUUAAACCCACUUCAUUUUCCUGAUGUAAUCAGGACCUGUGUGAGAUUAU